GAAAUGCGAUAAGUCAUGUGAAUUGCAGAAUUCCGUGAAUCAUCGAAUCUUUGAACGCACAUUGCGCCCUCUGGCAUUCCGGGGGGCAUGCCUGUCCGAGCGUCAUUACGCACCCUCAAGCCCGGCUUGUGUGAUGGGCCCCGGCGUCUCGUUCGCGAGACGGGCCCGAAAGGCAGCGGCGGCGUCGACCCGAUGAGCCCGAGCGUAUGGGGACUUCUGUCACACGUUCGCGGUGCGGACCGGCGCCUGCUUGACUUUUCUGAUUAUCCAGGUUGACCUCGGAUCAGGUAGGGAUACCCGCUGAACUUAAGC
rnacentral:misc_RNA from 1 species